UACGGAGGGUGCAAGCGUUGCUCGGAAUUAUUGGGCGUAAAGGGUAGGUAGGUGGUCUCAUUUGUCUGAGGUGAAAGCCUUGAGCUUAACUCAAGAAGUGCCUCAGAAACGGUGAGACUGGAGUCCUGGAGAGGGUCGUGGAAUUCCCGGUGUAGCGGUGAAAUGCGCAGAUAUCAGGAGGAACACCCGUGGCGAAAGCGGCUCUCUGGGACGGUACUGACGCUGAGACGCGAAAAGCGUGGGGAGCAAACAGG
rnacentral:rRNA from 1 species